rnacentral:piRNA from 1 species
UGAACUGGACCUGCGGCUCUCCCUGG